rnacentral:rRNA from 1 species
UGGGGAAUAUUGCACAAUGGGCGAAAGCCUGAUGCAGCAACGCCGCGUGAGGGAAGACGGUUUUCGGAUUGUAAACCUCUGUUUUCGGUGACGAACAAAUGACGGUAACCGAGUAGGAAGCCACGGCUAACUACGUGCCAGCAGCCGCGGUAAUACGUAGGAUGCGAGCGUUAUCCGGAAUUACUGGGUGUAAAGGGAGCGCAGGCGGGACUGCAAGUUGGAUGUGAAAUACCGCAGCUUAACUGCGGAGCUGCAUCCAAAACUGUAGUUCUUGAGUGGAGUAGAGGCAAGCGGAAUUCCGAGUGUAGCGGUGAAAUGCGUAGAUAUUCGGAGGAACACCAGUGGCGAAGGCGGCUUGCUGGGCUCUAACUGACGCUGAGGCUCGAAAGUGUGGGGAGCAAACAGGAUUAGAUACCCUGGUAGU